GACGGAAGGUGCAAGCGUUGCUCGGAAUCAUUGGGCGUAAAGGGUGCGUAGGCGGCUUGGUGGGUCUGGUGUGAAAGCCCCGGGCUUAGCCCGGGAAGGGCGCUAGAAACUGCCGAGCUCGAGUGCCGGAGGGGAGAGUGGAAUUCCUGGUAGCGGUGAAAUGCGUAGAGAUCAGGAGGAAUACCGGUGGCGAAAGCGACUCUCUGGACGGCAACUGACGCUGAGGCACGAAAGCGUGGGGAGCAAACAGG
rnacentral:rRNA from 1 species